rnacentral:sRNA from 1 species
UAGUUCAAUUCACCCGCGAGGGGCGCUA